GACGAACGCUGGCGGCGUGCUUAACACAUGCAAGUCGAACGGAAAGGCCCUGCUUUUGUGGGGUGCUCGAUUGGCGAACGGGUGAGUAACACGUGAGUAACCUGCCCUUGACUUUGGGAUAACUUCAGGAAACUGGGGCUAUUACCGGAUAGGAGCUCCUGCUGCAUGGUGGGGGUUGGAAAGUUUCGGCGGUUGGGGAUGGACUCGAGGCUUACCAGCUUGUUGGUGGGGUAGUGGCUUACCAAGGCUUUGACGGGUAGCCGGCAUGAGAGGGUUAACGGCGACAUGGGGACUGAGAUACGGACCAGACUCCUACGGGAGGCAGCAGGGGGGAAUAUUGCACAAUGGGCGGAAGCCUGAUGCAGCAACGCCGCGUGCGGGAUGACGGCCUUCGGGUUGUAAACCGCUUUCGCCUGUGACGAAGCGUGAGUGACGGUAAUGGGUAAAGAAGCACCGGCUAACUACGUG
rnacentral:rRNA from 1 species